UUAAGUUAUUAAGGGCGUAUGGUGGAUGCCUUGGCACUAGGAGCCGAUGAAGGACGUGACUAACUGCGAUAUGCUUCGGGGAGUUGUAAGUAAACUAUGAUCCGGAGAUUUCCGAAUGGGGAAACCUAACAGGUUUUACCGCCUGUUAUCACUAAGUGAAUUCAUAGCUUAGUUGAAGGUAGACGUGGGGAACUGAAACAUCUAAGUACCCACAGGAAGAGAAAGAAAUUCGAUUCCCUCAGUAGCGGCGAGCGAACCGGGAAGAGCCCAAACUAAGAAGCUUGCUUCUUAGGGUUGUAGGACUGAACAUCUGAGUUACCAAGAAAUGAAGUAGUUGAAUAAUCUGGGAAGAUUAGCCAAAGAGAGUGAUAGCCUCGUAAGCGAAACUUUGUUUCCUCAGUUCAGGAUCCUGAGUACGGCGGAACACGUGAAACUCCGUCGGAAUCCGGGAGGACCAUCUCCCAAGGCUAAAUACUACCUAGUGACCGAUAGUGAACCAGUACCGUGAGGGAAAGGUGAAAAGCACCCCGGGAGGGGAGUGAAAUAGUUCCUGAAACCAUAUGCCUACAAGUAGUCAGAGCUCGUUAAUGAGUGAUGGCGUGCCUUUUGUAGAAUGAACCGGCGAGUUACGUUAGCGUGCGAGGUUAAGGAGGAAAGUCCGGAGCCGUAGCGAAAGCGAGUCUGAAUAGGGCGAGAUAGUACGUUGACGUAGACCCGAAACCAGGUGACCUACCCAUGUCCAGGUUGAAGGUGCGGUAAAACGCACUGGAGGACCGAACCCGUGUAUGUUGAAAAAUGCUGGGAUGAGGUGUGGGUAGAGGUGAAAUUCCAAACGAACUUGGAGAUAGCUGGUUCUCUCCGAAAUAGCUUUAGGGCUAGCCUCGGAGUUGAGAAUCGUGGAGGUAGAGCACUGUUUGGACUAGGGGCCCGUCUUGGGUUACUGAAUUCAGAUAAACUCCGAAUGCCACAGAUUUAUAUCCGGGAGUCAGACUGCGAGUGAUAAGAUCCGUAGUCGAAAGGGAAACAGCCCAGACCACCGAUUAAGGUCCCAAAAUAUGUGUUAAGUGGAAAAGGAUGUGGAAUUGCAUAGACAACUAGGAUGUUGGCUUAGAAGCAGCCACCAUUUAAAGAGUGCGUAAUAGCUCACUAGUCGAGUGAUCCUGCGCCGAAAAUGUAACGGGGCUAAACACAUUACCGAAAUCGUGGAUGUACCUUAGGGUACAUGGUAGGAGAGCGUUCUAAGGACGGCGAAGCUAGACCGUAAGGACUGGUGGAGUGCUUAGAAGUGAGAAUGCCGGUAUGAGUAGCGAAAGAUCAGUGAGAAUCUGGUCCACCGUAUGACUAAGGUUUCCUGGGGAAGGCUCGUCCUCCCAGGGUUAGUCGGGACCUAAGCCGAGGCCGAGAGGCGUAGGCGAUGGAUAACAGGUUGAGAUUCCUGUACUGGUUAAACUUGUUUGAACAAUGGAGGGACGCAGGAGGCUAUCGAUGCGUACUGUUGGAUAUGUACGUUCAAGCAACAAGUCUGUAGAUGAGUCAAAUGCUUAUCUACUUAAGGACAAGUUGUGAUGAGGAGCGAAAUUUAGUAGCGAAGUGAGAGACGUCACACUGCCAAGAAAAGCUUCUAGUUAGAGUUUAAUCACCCGUACCGCAAACCGACACAGGUAGUCGAGGCGAGUAGCCUAAGGUGAGCGAGAGAACUCUCGUUAAGGAACUCGGCAAAAUGACCCCGUAACUUCGGGAGAAGGGGUGCUGAGCGCAAGCUCAGCCGCAGUGAAUAGGCCCAGGCGACUGUUUAUCAAAAACACAGGUUUCUGCAAAAUCGUAAGAUGAAGUAUAGGGGCUGACGCCUGCCCGGUGCUGGAAGGUUAAGAGGAUGGGUUAGCGUAAGCGAAGCUCAGAAUUGAAGCCCCAGUAAACGGCGGCCGUAACUAUAACGGUCCUAAGGUAGCGAAAUUCCUUGUCGGGUAAGUUCCG
rnacentral:rRNA from 1 species